GUAUUGUAUUGCGUUAAACGCGGCAUGCAUUCCAUAAGACUUUAUUACAGUGUGUGUGUAAAGACAUAGAACCACGGCAGGAGGGCAGAGCACCUCAGGCCAUAGAACUAUGGAGGGUGCACAGGUGUGAGUGGAUGUGUGAACAGAGCGUGCACAUGCCCCAUUUUGGGGGGGCCAGCAACAACUCGUGUUGACAAUUCGGUAAUGAUCCUUCCGCAGGUUCACCUACGGAAA
rnacentral:misc_RNA from 1 species